GGAUGAUGACUGAGUUUGAACCCCUAUCCUUCUGGGGCACACAUCCCAGCCCCCUCUCAGCGGGAUAUUCCGGUCAUCUUGGACAGGAACCUGCCAGAAGAUGGUGACUCUGACUUCCAGGCUCGGCUCCAGACCAUGGACCACGGAUGAGAGACAGAGCCUCUAGAUUGCCAUUUCGGGAGACAGCAGCACCCAACCCAGAGUCACACGUCGGACCCUCCAUGGACCCAGCCUGUUCAUCAGCCCUCCGAGAUGGACUCCUGCCUGGACACCCCCCCUGGAUGAAGGUGGUCACCUUGGGAGCAUGGGACUGAGCAGGCCGGCCAAUGUGGGGUUCGUGGUCCCGCCAAUACCGUGCACACACACAGACACAAACACACACACACACACACACACACACACACACACAGUGUCCCUUGCUGUGCUGCUGUGUUUCUGACCUUGCUGCCUGCAAUGCUUGGACUCUGUUCCAGCAGAGCUGUUCCUAACUACUGCCUUCACUCUCCCCAUUUCCCAUGUCAGUCCCAUUCCCCACACCGCGCAGACCCCUGCUUUGCACAUAGUAAGCGCUUAACAAAUACCAUCAUUAUUAUUAUUAGUGCAGGGCUUGCACCCAGGAAGUAUCCAGUCCAGUGCCCUGUAUUCAGAAAGGGCUCAAUUCGGGACCCCCUCCAACCCUCCUCCUUCUGACCGUCCUCCAGGGGCCUCACUCAGUCUGGCAGUCAACUCUGUGCUGAUGCGGCUGCUGCUAAUGCUGCUACUGCUAAUGAAGGCGAGGCAGGAACCACAUGCAAAACUUUUCAUGUUUAACUUUCAUUUGCAACAAGCAAAUGUGGCUCCUAUCGGCCCUUGGAUCUUGGAGGAGCUCUGGUGGAGCAGAAUGGAGCAGAGCAGAGUGAGAAGGUGCCAGAAGCCCCCGCUGCUUCGUGAGGAGAGGAGAAAGCGCACUCCCCACCCCCACCCCUAUCCCCCACAGUCUACAAGAGGGGACGGAGGACACGUGGGUGGCAGGCAGCUAGUCACGAGGGGCCUGGAACCUUCCUCACUUCUCCUCCCUCCCAUUUCCCUUUGAUGUUCAGCUCUGCAGCCUUGCUGCCCCCCAGGAGGGGGCCCCCAGCAUGCCAGCAGAGCUAAGUGAGGGUACGUAGCCAGGCACAGGGCCAGGGGGAGGGGAAGGCCCCGCUCAUCCCGGCCAGGUUUUCUGCAUGAGAUGGAGAAGAGAUCAGCCCCAGGAGCCUUGAGGGGCCAUGCUGGCAGGCGGCAUCUGCAGCUCUCUGAGCCCCUGAUAAAUGAAGCAUUUUUUCCAGAAGAAAACCCAGCCUCCACAGUGCCGGCCACGUCUGCCGACCCCACCGAUCUGGGAGGCCGGGAACCCGGCCAGGGGAAUGACCGGAAGGCGACCAGUGGGAGAGGAUGACGGGUCUUAGGUCUCUAUCUGAGCAGGCUGGAGAGUGGACAUUCUGGCCGACGUGGGUCCUGUCAACUGGACACGCCUCAUCCUCCCUCCCCCUCCUUCCCUCUAGGCUCUGCCUGCCCAAGCUGAGAUUUCU